GAAAAACUUGGGUCGGGAUCACUGGGCGUAAGGGCGCGUAGGCGGCGUGCCAAGUCAGAUGUGAAAGGCCACGGCUCAACCGUGGACGUGCAUCUGAAACUGGCAUGCUUGAGUACUGGAGGGGAGUGUGGAAUUCCUGGUGUAGAGGUGAAAUUCGUAGAUAUCAGGAGGUUUUUCCCCAAAAAAAAAAA
rnacentral:rRNA from 1 species